GAUGAAGAACGCAGCGAAAUGCGAUACGUAAUGUGAAUUGCAGAAUUCAGUGAAUCAUCGAAUCUUUGAACGCACCUUGCACCCUUUGGCAUUCCGAAGGGUAUGCUCGUUUGAGUGUCAUUGUACUCUCACACUCUCCGAUCCUAUGGAUUCGGGGAGCGGUGGACUUGGGUGUUGCUGCCUUUCCCUGUGGCUCACCUCAAAUGCGUCAGUGCACCUCUUGGUUGGACAUAGUACGGCGUGAUAAGUGUCUUCGCCGGCACCUCGCAAGAGGGUGGCCGAUCGGGAGCUCUGCGCUUUCAAACCGUCUUCGGACAAUUUCUGACAUCUUGACCUCAAAUCGAGUAGGACUACCCGCUGAACUUAAGCAUAUCAAUAAGCGGAGGA
rnacentral:misc_RNA from 1 species